UACGUAGGUGGCAAGCGUUGUCCGGAUUUAUUGGGUUUAAAGGGUGCGUAGGCGGCCCCUAUAAGUCAGUGCUGAAAUAUCCCGGCUUAACCGGGAGGGUGGCAUUGAUACUGUAGGGCUUGAGUCGAGUUGAGGUUGGCGGAAUUGACGGUGUAGCGGUGAAAUGCUUAGAUAUCGUCAAGAACACCGAUAGUGAAGACAGCUAACUAAGCUCAAACUGACGCUGAGGCACGAAAAGUGUGGGGGAUCAAAACAGG
rnacentral:rRNA from 1 species